rnacentral:rRNA from 1 species
CCCAGCUUUCUUUUUACCGGAGCUUGCUCCACCGGAAAAGAGGAGUGGCGAACGGGUGAGUAACACGUGGGUAACCUGCCCAUCAGAAGGGGAUAACACUUGGAAACAGGUGCUAAUACCGUAUAACAAUCGAAACCGCAUGGUUUUGAUUUGAAAGGCGCUUUCGGGUGUCGCUGAUGGAUGGACCCGCGGUGCAUUAGCUAGUUGGUGAGGUAACGGCUCACCAAGGCGACGAUGCAUAGCCGACCUGAGAGGGUGAUCGGCCACAUUGGGACUGAGACACGGCCCAAACUCCUACGGGAGGCAGCAGUAGGGAAUCUUCGGCAAUGGACGAAAGUCUGACCGAGCAACGCCGCGUGAGUGAAGAAGGUUUUCGGAUCGUAAAACUCUGUUGUUAGAGAAGAACAAGGAUGAGAGUAACUGUUCAUCCCUUGACGGUAUCUAACCAGAAAGCCACGGCUAACUACGUGCCAGCAGCCGCGGUAAUACGUAGGUGGCAAGCGUUGUCCGGAUUUAUUGGGCGUAAAGCGAGCGCAGGCGGUUUCUUAAGUCUGAUGUGAAAGCCCCCGGCUCAACCGGGGAGGGUCAUUGGAAACUGGGAGACUUGAGUGCAGAAGAGGAGAGUGGAAUUCCAUGUGUAGCGGUGAAGGG